AAUCCCUUUGAAGAUCUUGCAGAUAUUAAAGUAGUGGACUGAUUCUUAUUUGAUGAGAAAGCUUGUUCUGAGGGAUU
rnacentral:snoRNA from 1 species